AGAGUUUGAUCCUAGCUCAGAACGAACGCUGGCGGUGUACUUAACACAUGCAAGUUGAGCGAGAAAGGAGACUUCGGUUUCCGAGUAAAGCGGCGCACGGGUGAGUAACACGUGGGUAAUCUACCUUUGAGACUGGGAUAACCUGGGGAAACCUGGAUUAAUACCGGAUAAACCCACAAAUUCUAUGGAAUUUGUGGGAAAAAGAGGGCCUAUUUAUGAAAGCUCUUACUUGAAGAUGAGCCCGCGGCCCAUCAGCUAGUUGGCAGGGUAAAAGCCUACCAAGGCAACGACGGGUAGCUGGUCUGAGAGGACGAUCAGUCACACUGGCACUGGAACACGGGCCAGACUCCUACGGGAGGCAGCAGUGGGGAAUAUUGCGCAAUGGGCGAAAGCCUGACGCAGUAACGCCGCGUGAGGGAAGAAGGCCUUCGGGUUGUAAACCUCUGUCAGGAGGGAAGAAGAAGAAUGAGGAAAAUAUUCUCAUUUGGUGACGGUACCUCCAAAGGAAGCACCGGCUAACUACGUGCCAGCAGCCGCGGUAAAACGUAGGGUGCAAGCGUUGUUCGGAAUUACUGGGCGUAAAGGGCGCGUAGGCGGUUAGAUAAGUCAGAUGUGAAAUCCCUUGGCUUAACCAAGGAACUGCAUUUGAAACUGUCUGGCUUGAGUACGGGAGAGGGAAGCGGAAUUCCUGGUGUAGAGGUGAAAUUCGUAGAUAUCGGGAGGAACACCGGUGGCGAAGGCGGCUUCCUGGACCGAUACUGACGCUAAGGCGCGAAAGCGUGGGGAGCAAACAGGAUUAGAUACCCUGGUAGUCCACGCUGUAAACGAUGGGCACUAGGUGUUGCGGGUGAUAAAACUUGCAGUGCCGGAGCUUACGCAUUAAGUGCCCCGCCUGGGGACUACGGCCGCAAGGCUAAAACUCAAAGGAAUUGACGGGGACCCGCACAAGCGGUGGAGCAUGUGGUUUAAUUCGACGCUACGCGAAAAACCUUACCUGGGUUAAAUCCUUAGGAACCCUUCAGAAAUGAAGGGGUACCCUUUUUUUUAAGGGGGCCUAAGAGAAGGUGCUGCAUGGCUGUCGUUAGCUCGUGCUGUGAGAUGUUGGGUUAAGUUUCGCAACGAGCGUAACCCUUACCUCUAAUUGCUAUUGGAGGUUUAUCUUCAAGCACUUUAGAGGGACUGCUGCAGUUAAUGCGGAGGAAGGUGGGGAUGACGUUAAGUCCUCAUGGCCUUUAUGUCCAGGGCUACACACGUGCUACAAUGGUCAGUACAAAGGGUUGCAACACCGUGAGGUGAAGCGGAUCCCAAAAAGCUGGCCUCAGUUCGGAUUGCAGUCUGCAACUCGACUGCAUGAAGGUGGAAUCGCUAGUAAUCGCGGAUUAGCAUGCCGCGGUGAAUACGUUCCCGGGUCUUGUACACACCGCCCGUCACACCAUGGAAGCGGGUUGCUCCAGAAGUCGGUAAACUAACCUUUUGGGGGUAGCUGCCUAAGGAGUGAUUCGUGACUGGGGUGAAGUCAACAAGGUAGCCGUAGGGGAACCUGUGGC
rnacentral:rRNA from 1 species